GAGCACGUAGGUGGGUUUGUAAGUCAGAUGUGAAAGCCUUCUGUUCAACGGAAGAAUUGCAUCUGAAACUGCGAGUCUUGAGUGUAGGAGGGGAGAAUGGAACUUCUGGUGGAGCGGUGAAAUGCGUAGAUAUCAGAAGGAACGCCGGCGGCGAAAGCGAUUCCCUGACCUAUUAUUGACACUCAGUGUGCGAAAGCUAGGGGCGCAAACGGGAUUAGAUACCCCGGUAGUCCUAGCCGUAAACGAUGGGCACUAAGUAGAGGGGUUUU
rnacentral:rRNA from 1 species